rnacentral:snRNA from 1 species
UCGGCUUCUCAGCCUUUUGGUUAAGAUCAAAGUGUAGUAUCUGUUCUUAUCAGCUUAAUCUCGUUUAGGGAAAGAUAGAAGCGUCAUGUUCAGCUUUACAAACUGUAGAAUAUUAAUAUGAAUUAUUAUUUUGAAAAUCUGA